AAACUGUGUGAUUGAACUGUAUUAAAUGUAAACUGCUGUGAAGAUUGAAAGUGAGUUUCAGUAGAGUGCACCGAAGCAUUAACCUGUAACACUGCCAUCUAUUGUUGUAAUAUAGAACUAAUUUAAUGUCACCUGACCCAGGUGGGUACUUAUAAAUAUGUUGUAUAGUAGAUCGUCAUGUUCUUAAUUUCAUAUCGAUUUUAAUGAUAGCGUCCGUCAAAGAGUUUAUGUUAUAAUUAAUAUUUAUAUACGAAAAUAGUCUGCAACAUUCGAGUAUUUGAUCAUAGUUACAGCAAUCGUGGUAGCAGUAGUCCAAACCACAGGAAGAGUCACAAUAUUUCACAGACGAAAUUUGCUUGAAAUUUGUUACUGGACUAAUAUUUUGGACUACA